rnacentral:rRNA from 1 species
UGCAGAAUCCCGUGAACCAUCGAGUCUUUGAACGCAAGUUGCGCCCGAAGCCUUCUGGCCGAGGGCACGCCUGCCUGGGUGUCACACAUCGUCGCCCCCCAAAAUCCCGAUAUCUCGCAAGAGACAAUCGGGAAUAGGAUGGGCGGAAAAUGGUCUCCCGUGCGCUCCCGUUCGCGGUUGGCCCAAAAAUGAGUUCCUGGCAAAGCAAAGCCACGACCAGCGGUGGUUGUAAGACCCUCGGUACAAGUCGUGAGCCUUGCAUUGCUCGUAGGGACAUGUUGACCCUGAACGUGAUCGAGUAUCAUCGAACACUCACAAAGUGACCCCAGGUCAGGCGGGACUACCCGCUGAAUUUAAGCAUAUCAAUAAGCGGAGGAAAAGAAACUAACAAGGAUUCCCCUAGUAACGGCGAGCGAACCGGGAAAUGCCCAGCUUGAAAAUCGGAUGCCCCAGGCGUUCGA